rnacentral:rRNA from 1 species
GUGCAGCAGGCGCGAAAACUUUACAAUGCGGGAAAACCGUGAUAAGGGAACCUCGAGUGCUGGCGCAUAGCGUCGGCUGUCCAGAUGCCUAAAAAAGCAUCUGAUAGCAAGGGCCGGGCAAGACCGGUGCCAGCCGCCGCGGUAACACCGGCGGCUCGAGUGGUGGCCACGUUUAUUGGGUCUAAAGCGUCCGUAGCCGGCUCGGCAAGUCCCCUGGGAAAUCUGGCGGCUCAACCGUCAGGCGUCCAGAGGAUACUG